rnacentral:rRNA from 1 species
GGCGGCAUGCUUUACACAUGCAAGUCGAACGGCAGCAUGGUCUAGGUAACUAGGCUGAUGGCGAGUGGCGAACGGGUGAGUAGAGCAUCGGAACGUACCGUGUAGAGGGGGAUAACUGUCCGAAAGGAUAGCUAAUACCGCAUACGCCCUAAGGGGGAAAGCAGGGGACUGUGAUAGGCCUUGCGUUAUACGAUCGGCCGAUGCCCGAUUAGCUAGUUGGUGAGGUAAAGGCUCACCAAGGCGACGAUCGGUAGCGGGUCUGAGAGGACGAUCCGCCACACUGGAACUGAGACACGGUCCAGACUCCUACGGGAGGCAGCAGUGGGGAAUUUUGGACAAUGGGCGGAAGCCUGAUCCAGCAAUGCCGCGUGAGUGAAGAAGGCCCUUGGGUUGUAAAGCUCUUUCGGUCGGGAAGAAGGAAUGGUGGCUAAUAUCCAUCAUGACAGACGGUACCGGCAUAAGAAGCACCGGCUAACUACGU